UACGCCCAAAGGGAUGCCUGGCUGGCUCAGGCUGUAGAGCAUGUGACUCUCCCUCCCUCUCCAGGUCAUGAGUUCAGGUCCCGUGUCGGGUGUAGAGUUUAAAGUAAAAAAAAAAAAAAAAAAAAAAAAAGCAAACAAAAAACAUCCACAAAUGUUUUCUUUUUUUAAGUUUAUUUAUUUAUUUAUUUUGAGAGAGUGGGAGAGAGAAUCCCAAGCAGGCUCCGUACUGUCAGCAUGGAGCCCGACUUGGGAUUCAGACUCACAAACCGUGAGACCAUGACCUGAGCUGAAAUAGAGUCAGGCACUUAGCCAACUGAGCCACCCAAGCGCCCCUCCAUAGUGUUUUGACACUCCUUUAUUUAAAAAAAAAAAUAUUUUUUUUUAUGUUUAUUUUUGAGAGAGAGAGAGAACAUGAGCAGUGAGGGGUCAGAGAGAGAGGGAGACACAGAAUCGGAAGCAGGCUCCAGGCUCGGAGCCGUCAGCACAGAGCCUGACGCGGGGCUCGAACUCACGGACCGGGAGAUCAUGACCUGAGCCGAAAUCGGAUGCUUAACCGACUGAGCCCCCCAGGCACCCCGACACUCCUUUACAAAAGUGGAGCCUAAUUCUCUUCCCUAUCACCCGCUCUGGAGGAAGCCAGCUGCCGUGUUUCGAGAACACCCAAGGAGCCCAGGUGGCGAGGAACUAAAGCCUCCAGCCGAGAGCCAUGUGGGCGGGGCUUCUCCGGUCAUCACAAUUCCGUUUGGAGAGGCUCUCUCUCUCUGCCUGCCGUGUGGACAAUGGACGAAACGGCAGAGGUGAACGUACGCCCCCUUGGGAAGCAGCCACUGCAGUCAUCCACGACCCGAGGAGGGUGAGAGGUGCUGCCUGGUAUGUCUGGAAGGCUUCCUGAAAGAGGAGGUAUGGAUGAUGUGGCUUUGAAGAAGACAGAAGCCAAAGAUCUGAGAAGGGGGAGAAGAAUAAGAAUCUGGCGUGACAUCAGGGAAGUCGUUCCUUCGUUCCUGGCCGCGCGGAGCCUGGUGGGCCAGGAACGUGCUCCCGACCCAUGCAGGAGGCUUGCACGAAGUAGGAGACGUGGCCAAUUUUGCUGGCGAAGGUAGAAGGAAGCCUGGGAGACCCAGCUUCCUAUCAUGGCUAGAGUCGGCUGCUGGCUUGGUCCUUACCCUCUACUGGGAAUGUCUUCGUCUUGUGCACAUAGUCGGCCUUGUUGUUGCAAAUAACAUCCCUGCUAUAAUCACGGGAUGCCCCGAUUUCUUCAUUCCACUCCACGUAACCCCUUCCCACGAGCUCCACCUUCACCAUGGGGUUCACCAGGGUGCUGUUCAGUAUGAGAACCACCUGCCCUUCUAUGCUGGAGCCGGCCGGGUAGACCACAUCCUUGGGCAACACUAAUUCGAUCGACUUCACCACAGACAUGGGGGGUUGGGGUGGUGGAGGAACAUCCUCGCCCCUCCCCCAUGACACUGAGAUCCCCGGUUCCUUGGCCGCGGUGAGGUCACCUGUCUGUGACAUCAUCCAGCCAGGGUUCUGGGAAGGGGCCUCCAGUGGCCAGGAGGGGAGA